rnacentral:lncRNA from 1 species
CUCAGGAGUUUCUGGUUCCUGUAAACCUGAAGAAAGAUCACUGAUUAGGAAGGAGGUUGUGUGACUGGUACUGUUCUUUGAUGUUUUCCUUAUUCUUCUUUUCAGGCAAGGCUGACUUUACUGGUUAAUUAUUUGGGGAGUGAGGCAAAACAGAAAUAGUGAAAAACAGGCUUGCUCAUGCCAGGAGCUAGUUAACCCAAUCAUCGGCUUCAAGCCCAGAGGCAGGCAAAUGGUGAAGGUCUGAAGCUUAAACUCUGGGGUUUUUGCUUGAGUGAACUGCUCACUUCUAAAUUCACUUCAUGCCUAAAUUUUAGUCUUUUCCUAAUGAAGACCCACCGUAUUUUUUGUAAACCUGGAAUCUCAUAAAACCUGGUUUGGUUCUCACUGGGCUUUGGAUUCAGAGAUAUUCCAUUUCUUUUGAAGCCAGUGGAAGAGACAGACAUGGAAACAAAUAAUCUUAACGUACAGACUUCGGAGUUACAAUGGAGAGUUUAUGGCUUAAUUAUGUCCCUUACCUUUGGCCCAAAUCACAAGCUGAAAUUCUAACUCUCAACAUGUCUAUAUUUGGAGGUAAGGUUUUGGGGGGACUAAUGAAAGUCAAAUUUGGUUUUAAGGAUGAGCUAUAAUCCAAUAGGGUUGGUGUCCUUAAAGGAAAGGAAGAGGCACUAGAGAUGCAGCUCUGGAGAAGAAAGACCAGAUGAGGACACAGGAAGAAGGCAGCCAUCUACGGGCCUGGAAGAGAGCCCUCACCAGAAGCCGAAUCUGCUGACCCAAUGUCAUGGACUUUCAGUUUCCAGAAGUGUGAGAAAGAUACAUUUCUAAAUAACUCAGACUAUGGUAAAUUGUUCAGGCAGCCCCAGUGGAGUAAUGCAAGAGGAAAAGUAGUCAAAGACUCACAAGGAAAAGUACUUGGAGUUCUUAUAUUUCAAAGAAAUAUCAGAAGAAGGCAUCUUAUGGCCCUAGAUCUGUACUCCCAGUAAAUUGAGUGCUCUGCUGUUGGAAGACAGAGGCCUGGGGGAAGAUCUAACCAUGGGUCUCAUUAGUAACAUCAUGCUUCUUAGGAGGAGGCUGGUUUUGCUCCUUCUUCUUCUUCCUCCUCCUCCUCCUCUUCCAUCCUCCCCCUCCCUCCCCCUCCUCCUACUCUUUUGUAAACCUAAAACUUGGCCAAGGAGGUUGAAAUGUCUUGAAGAAAGUCAUGUUCAAACUUGAUAUCCACUUGGCUUAUAGCGAAGGGCACUUCUGUCCUGAUCCAAGUCUUAGUCCUAAGCUGACUCUUGCUGUGUAUCUUUGGGUGAAUCAUUUACUCUCUUUGGGCCUUAGUCCCAAUUUCUCAAAGACAAACCACUUGGGUUAAAUGAUCUUUUUAGUGCUAAUAUUCUGUGCAAUGAUAUUUAACCAACUUGUAUAAAAAAGGUGUGGAAAUAAAAAUAUGGAGAAGAUCUCAUUUCUAAAGACAAUGUCUGAUUCAG